rnacentral:rRNA from 1 species
GUGCCAGACUCCUACGGGAGGCAGCAGUGGGGAAUAUUGCACAAUGGGGGGAACCCUGAUGCAGCGACGCCGCGUGGGUGAAGGAGCACCUCGGUGCGUAAAGCCCUAUCGGCAGGGAAGAAACAGACGGUACCUGACUAAGAAGCCCCGGCUAACUACGUGCCAGCAGCCGCGGUAAUACGUAGGGGGCAAGCGUUAUCCGGAUUCACUGGGUGUAAAGGGAGCGUAGACGGCAGUGCAAGUCCGGAGUGAAAGCCCGGGGCUCAACCCUGGGACUGCUCUGGAAACUGUAAAGCUGGAGUGCGGGAGGGGCAGGCGGAAUUCCUGGUGUAGCGGUGAAAUGCGUAGAUAUCAGGAGGAACACCGGCGGCGAAGGCGGCCUGCUGGACCGUAACUGACGUUGAGGCUCGAAAGCGUGGGGAGCAAACAGGAUUAGAUACCCCGGUAC